rnacentral:rRNA from 1 species
UACGUAGGGGGCAAGCGUUGUCCGGAUUUAUUGGGCGUAAAGAGCGUGUAGGCGGCCAGGUAGGUCAGCUGUGAAAACUCGAGGCUCAACCUCGAGACGCCGGUUGAAACCAUCUGGCUAGAGUCCGGAAGAGGAGAGUGGAAUUCCUGGUGUAGCGGUGAAAUGCGCAGAUAUCAGGAGGAACACCCGUGGCUAAGGCGGCUCUCUAGUACGGUACUGACGCUGAGACGCGAAAGCGUGGGGAGCGAACAGG